CCAAAUUUGCUAAAUGAACUCAAAAUAAAAAAUAUUAACUCAGAAUUGAGAAACAAGCUCAAAAUUGCGAGAUAUAUUAAUAAUUGUGAUAUAAAUAGAAUUGGGAAAACGAAAGUCAGAAUUGAUAAAUAAACAAGAUAUAAGCAAGAUAUAGACUCAAAAUUGCUUUAUAUAAAUUUAUAUAAAUUCAGAAUUGCGAUGUAAACAACUGUGGGAUCGAAACUCAGAAUUAAAAGAUAUAAAUUAUAUUAUAUAUUUUAAAUAUAUUAAAAGAUUUAAAUUAAAAAUUGCAAUGUAAACAAAAUUGUGACAACGAAAGUCAGAAUUGAGAGAUAUAAUUUAAGAAUUGCAAUGUAAAAAGAAAUUGUGAUGUAAACAUAAUUGAGAGAAAUAAAAUAAGAAUUGCGAGAUAUAAAGUCAGAAUUGACUCUUACGACUGUUGCAAUGAUAUAUAAUUACUUUGUAUAAUAUACACAUUUUGAUGGGGUGAAACUGGUGUCUGUUAUUGCCAAAAAAGACAUAAAGUGCAUGAGACAGAACAGCUGCACGUCUCAUUUCAAAGUAACAAGACGAGUCGACCUUGAAGAGCACCGCAGCGCCUCUGUUAUUGUGGAGGACUGGAGAUCGGUCUGAAUAAUGAGCGAGCCGUGUUUCAGCUGUGUCCCAUUAACCUUCCCAUCCAUAUGAGAUCAAAGAUGGCGACGGGAGGGGGCCGCAUGGAGAUCAGCUGUUGCACGGUUGUUGCACCAUCACUUGAGCCCACAUGAGAGCGUUUUCUCACAGAUGUUAAAAUAUGUAUAAAGACGAUUUCACAGACCUGCCGGGCAAAUCGAACGCUGAGACGCAAAGGGAGGAUACACAUCACAGCCGAGUGAAGAAAAAUCAAUGCAGAAAGGUUUUUUACAGCUCGAUGAGGCAAAAGAUUGAAAUAAACGAAGGCCUUUGUAGUGGAAAACGCUCAGAGAUCAGUGUUUCUGGGUUCUCUCUGAUGCUGAUGCUGCGAACGCU
rnacentral:lncRNA from 1 species